rnacentral:rRNA from 1 species
ACGGCUCAGUAACACGUCGACAAUCUGCCUUCAGGUCCGGGAUAACCUUGGGAAACUGAGGAUAAUACCGGAUAAGGAACUGGUUCUGGAACGGCUUUUUCCUUAAAAGCAAUGCCUGAAGAUGAGUCGGCGGCGGAUUAGGUUGUUGGUGGGGUAACGGCCCACCAAGCCAAAGAUCCGUACGGGCCCUGAGAGGGGUAGCCCGGAGAAGGACACUGAGAUACUGGUCCUAGCCCUACGGGGUGCAGCAGGCGCGAAAACUCUGCAAUGCACGAAAGUGUGACAGGGGAAUCCCAAGUGCUUAUACUUAGUAUAGGCUUUUGCCAAGAGUAAAAAUCUUGGCGAAUAAGUGGUGGGUAAGACUGGUGCCAGCCGCCGCGGUAACCCCAGCGCCACAAGUGGCGAUCGCUUUUAUUGGGUCUAAAGCGUCCGUAGCCGGUCCAGUGAAUCUCUUGUGAAAUUGUCAGGCUUAACCUGUCAGCGUGCAGGAGACACUGCUGGACUUGGAACCGGGAGAGGUCAAGAGUAUUCCUGGGGGAGCGGUAAAAUGUUAUAAUCCCAGGAGGACUACCUAUGGCAGAGGCACUUGACCAGCACGGAUUCGACGGUGAGGGACGAAAGCUAGGGGAGCAAAACGGAUUAGAUACCCGAGUAGUCCUAGCUGUAAACUCUGUGAGCAAGGUGUUGCAUAUUCUUCGUGAAUACGUAGUAUCGAAACGAAGGUGUUAAGCUCACCACCUGGGAAGUACGGCCGCAAGACUGAAACUUAAAGGAAUUGGCGGGGGAGCAC